AUUUCCUUGUUUAAAAAAAUUAAAGGGGAAAAAGGAAAAGAAGCAUAUAUAUGUGUAAUAUGUACAUGUUUGAAUAAUAUUAAACUACUACCCCAGAAAUGCAUCCAGAGUAAAAUCUUCGUUGGUUUUUUUUCUUUCUUUCUUUAAGACAAAAGCAACCAGAGCGUCUGAACCAACUAGUAUUCCUCCAAGGCUGAAGACGAUGUGAUUGCAAAAGGUCAUUGGAGCUUGAGCCUAGUCCAGGAAGAAUGACCAGAGCAGAAAACCGGGAUGUUCUAGAAGUUACUCUUUAUGGCCUGAUACUGGGACGACCACCAACAAUUCAUUACUUGCUAAGCUUUCCCAAACACAUGUCGGGGGUCACUCAGUGCUGUUGUUUUUUGCAAGUGAUAAAAACAAAAAU